CAGGGAUUGCCUCAGUAGCGGCGAGUGAAGCGGCAAAAGCUCAAAUUUGAAAUCUGGCGUCUUUGGCGUCCGAGUUGUAAUUUGAAGAAGGUAUCUUUGGGCCCGGCUCUUGUCUAUGUUCCUUGGAACAGGACGUCACAGAGGGUGAGAAUCCCGUGCGAUGAGAUGACCCGGGUCUGUGUAAAGUUCCUUCGACGAGUCGAGUUGUUUGGGAAUGCAGCUCUAAGUGGGUGGUAAAUUCCAUCUAAAGCUAAAUAUUGGCGAGAGACCGAUAGCGAACAAGUACAGUGAUGGAAAGAUGAAAAGAACUUUGAAAAGAGAGUGAAAAAGUACGUGAAAUUGUUGAAAGGGAAGGGCUUGAGAUCAGACUUGGUAUUUUGCAUGCUGCUCUCUCGGGGGCGGCCGCUGCGGUUUACCGGGCCAGCAUCGGUUUGGAGCGGCAGGAUAAUGGCGGAGGAAUGUGGCACGGCUUCUGCUGUGUGUUAUAGCCUCUGACGAUGCUGCCAGCCUAGACCGAGGACUGCGGUUUUUAACCUAGGAUGUUGGCAUAAUGAUCUUAAGUCGCCCGUCUUGAAACACGGACCAAGGAGUCUAACGUCUAUGCGAGUGUUUGGGUGUAAAACCCGUACGCGUAAUGAAAGUGAACGAAGGUGGGGGCCCAUUAGGGUGCACCAUCGACCGAUCCUGAUGUGUUCGGAUGGAUUUGAGUAAGAGCAUAGCUGUUGGGACCCGAAAGAUGGUGAACUAUGCCUGAAUAGGGUGAAGCCAGAGGAAACUCUGGUGGAGGCUCGUAGCGGUUCUGACGUGCAAAUCGAUCGUCGAAUUUGGGUAUAGG
rnacentral:rRNA from 1 species